AUUAAAGCAACCAGAAUGUCAAAAUAUCCCUCAGAGGCAGCAGUCUCAGAUCACAGGCCAUCAUUGAAGGAAGACAGGCAGGAAUCCUGAGCAAGAAACAAUGAAGGAAUGAGACUUAUUGGCUUGCUUGCUGGCUCAUGUUCAGCCAGAUUUCUUAUACAGCACAGGCCCCCAACUGCUCAGGAAUUGCACUGCCCACAAGGGGUUUGUGCUUUGCCACAUCAAUCAAGACAGUCUAUGACAGGCAGAUCUCAUCAUGAUGAUCUUCAGCUGAGGCUCCCACUUCCCAAGUAACUCUAGGUUGUGUCAAGUUGACAACAAAACCAACCAGAGCAGCAUCUCAUGUGUUGAAUAUCUGCCUUGCUUAGAGCCUGCUGAAAUGAGAGCCACUAUGUCACAGGUAUAAAGAGGAGUUCAAAAAUUCUCAGUAACUACUAUGCUCAGUUAGAAUCGAUGGGGCUUCCUUUCC
rnacentral:lncRNA from 1 species